rnacentral:lncRNA from 1 species
CCAAAUAAAAAUAUAUUAAUAAAAUAGUUUUUUUUUUAAAUCAAAAUAUUAAUACAGUAUAGGUAACAAUAAUAUGAUUGUUUUAUCAAAAUUAAUAAGUAGGUAAUAUAAAUAAUUUUAUUAAUGAGAAGGAUGUGAUUGAUUUUGAAGAUUAUAUCAAGACGUGACUCUAAAUUACAUAAACAUAUGCCUAACUCCUCAUUUACCAUCAGUAAUCAUUCCCCCCCUUUUUUCAUUUCCAUGAGAGUUGAGAAAUUUAAUUCACAAGGAUACAAUGAUCCAACCAGCAACAAGGAUUUAAUCAAAGAUAUUGAUUCCAGAGUAAACUCCAAAAUGCUGACAAUUCUAGCUCAGAAUGUGAAGUUUUGCGCACAGGGUCAUUUCUCAAGUCUAUUAAAUUUUCUUCAAUUAAUGUCAGGCUUGUGUCAUGG